rnacentral:rRNA from 1 species
AUUGAACGCUGGCGGCAUGCCUUACACAUGCAAGUCGAACGGCAGCGGACCUUCGGGUGCCGGCGAGUGGCGAACGGGUGAGUAAUGUAUCGGAACGUACCUUUCAGUGGGGGAUAACGUAGCGAAAGUUACGCUAAUACCGCAUCUUCUGUGAGCAGGAAAGCAGGGGAUCGCAAGACCUUGCGCUGAUUGAGCGGCCGAUAUCAGAUUAGCUAGUUGGUGAGGUAAAGGCUCACCAAGGCGACGAUCUGUAGCGGGUCUGAGAGGAUGAUCCGCCACACUGGAACUGAGACACGGUCCAGACUCCUACGGGAGGCAGCAGUGGGGAAUUUUGGACAAUGGGGGCAACACUGAUCCAGCCAUGCCGCGUGAGUGAAGAAGGCCUUCGGGUUGUAAAGCUCUUUCGUCCGGGAAGAAAUCGCAUCAGCUAAUACCUGGUGUGGAUGACGGUACCGGAAUAAGAAGCACCGGCUAACUACGUGCCAGCCGCCGCCGUAAGAC